AGUGAACGCUGGCGGUAGGCCUAACACAUGCAAGUCGAACGGCAGCACAGUAAGAGCUUGCUCUUACGGGUGGCGAGUGGCGGACGGGUGAGGAAUACAUCGGAAUCUACUUUUUCGUGGGGGAUAACGUAGGGAAACUUACGCUAAUACCGCAUACGACCUUCGGGUGAAAGCAGGGGAACUUCGGACCUUGCGCGAUUGAAUGAGCCGAUGUCGGAUUAGCUAGUUGGCGGGGUAAAGGCCCACCAAGGCGACGAUCCGUAGCUGGUCUGAGAGGAUGAUCAGCCACACUGGAACUGAGACACGGUCCAGACUCCUACGGGAGGCAGCAGUGGGGAAUAUUGGACAAUGGGCGCAAGCCUGAUCCAGCCAUACCGCGUGGGUGAAGAAGGCCUUCGGGUUGUAAAGCCCUUUUGUUGGGAAAGAAAAGCAGCAGGUUAAUACCCCGCUGUUCUGACGGUACCCAAAGAAUAAGCACCGGCUAACUUCGUG
rnacentral:rRNA from 1 species